rnacentral:rRNA from 1 species
GAUGAACGCUGGCGGCGUGCCUAAUACAUGCAAGUCGAGCGAACGGACGAGAAGCUUGCUUCUCUGAUGUUAGCGGCGGACGGGUGAGUAACACGUGGAUAACCUACCUAUAAGACUGGGAUAACUUCGGGAAACCGGAGCUAAUACCGGAUAAUAUUUUGAACCGCAUGGUUCAAAAGUGAAAGACGGUCUUGCUGUCACUUAUAGAUGGAUCCGCGCUGCAUUAGCUAGUUGGUAAGGUAACGGCUUACCAAGGCAACGAUGCAUAGCCGACCUGAGAGGGUGAUCGGCCACCCUGGACCUGGGCCACGGCCCAGACUCCUACGGGAGGCAGCAGUAGGGAAUCUUCCGCAAUGGGCGAAAGCCUGACGGAGCAACGCCGCGUGAGUGAUGAAGGUCUUCGGUUCGUAAAACUCUGUUAUUAGGGAAGAACAUAUGUGUAAGUAACUGUGCACAUCUUGACGGUACCUAAUCAGAAAGCCACGGCUACCUACGU